rnacentral:lncRNA from 1 species
AUCUGAGAAUUGCAAUAAGUGCAAAAUGGGCCUAAAUGCUUCAGGAUUCAGCAGAAGUCUGUUGCCGGAAAAUGGAGGAAAGUCCAUAGUCCUGAAUCCUGAAUCCUGACAGGCAGAUUAUGCAGUUCUGACUACUGAUCACACCACAUAUCUGUCAGAAAAUAGAGGGUAAAAAUAUUCAGACCUUCUCUUUUCGGGUCUCUGCCAUUGUAGCCCACAACGAAUUUCAUUCAAGAUUCAGGACUAGCUUUGGGAUGCAUGUGCAGGAAUUCAUGUUGAGGGAGAGGAUAAUUUUUUUCUUUUCUUGGUACAUGGAAUAGUAAACAGAAAGGAGUAUUAGAGAUUGAAUUCUUAUAUUAAAAGAAAAAAAAAUCGUAUUCUUAAUCCAACAGCCCGAAUAGGAAUUUGAUAAUCCUGUUAAUUCACGAGCUAGGUUACACAAAUUAUACCGACUCCAUAUUAUCAAAGUUUGAAUUCGAAUAUAUUCUUUUUUGAAUUAUUAUAUCUUAAAUUCAAGUACACGAUGCAUUAUGUAUCAAGGAUUAAAUAUAUGUGUGUUAAUAGCCUAUUAAGUUAGCGUAUUUGUAAAUUCUAAAAUUAGGCUUAUAAGUUCAAUUUGAUCGACAAAUAAUAUGAUUAAAAGUCUGAUUAAUUAAAACGACAAACACCUAACACUGUAAAUUUGAAUUCAUUGCAAGACACAUAAAUUAUUAUACUCUAAAAUAAUUAUUUUACUAAGUUCCAAUUUUUAUUUUUUAUUAAAUACUACUAAUAAUUUUAUUAUUUUAUUUU